rnacentral:rRNA from 1 species
CCUACGGGCGGCAGCAGUGGGGAAUAUUGCACAAUGGGCGCAAGCCUGAUGCAGCCAUGCCGCGUGUGUGAAGAAGGCCUUCGGGUUGUAAAGCACUUUCAGCGGGGAGGAAGGCGGUGAGGUUAAUAACCUCAUCGAUUGACGUUACCCGCAGAAGAAGCACCGGCUAACUCCGUGCCAGCAGCCGCGGUAAUACGGAGGGUGCAAGCGUUAAUCGGAAUUACUGGGCGUAAAGCGCACGCAGGCGGUCUGUCAAGUCGGAUGUGAAAUCCCCGGGCUCAACCUGGGAACUGCAUUCGAAACUGGCAGGCUAGAGUCUUGUAGAGGGGGGUAGAAUUCCAGGUGUAGCGGGGAAAUGCGUAGAGAUCUGGAGGAAUACCGGUGGCGAAGGCGGCCCCCUGGACAAAGACUGACGCUCAGGUGCGAAAGCGUGGGGAGCAAACAGGAUUAGAUACCCGUGUAGUC